GUGGGGAAUAUUGGACAAUGGGCGAAAGCCUGAUCCAGCCAUGCCGCGUGUGUGAAGAAGGUCUUCGGAUUGUAAAGCACUUUAAGUUGGGAGGAAGGGCAGUAAGUUAAUACCUUGCUGUUUUGACGUUACCGACAGAAUAAGCACCGGCUAACUUCGUGCCAGCAGCCGCGGUAAUACGAAGGGUGCAAGCGUUAAUCGGAAUUACUGGGAGUAAAGCGCGCGGAGGUGGUUUUGUAAGUUGGAGGUGAAAUCCCCGGGCUCAACCUGGGAACUGCCUCCAAAACUGCAUGACUAGAGUACGGUAGAGGGUAGUGGAAUUUCCUGUGUAGCGGUGAAAUGCGUAGAUAUAGGAAGGAACACCAGUGGCGAAGGCGACUACCUGGACUGAUACUGACACUGAGGUGCGAAAGCGUGGGGAGCAAACAGGAUUAGAUACCCUUGUAGUCC
rnacentral:rRNA from 1 species